AAAAAUACUUCUAUGUUGCCUAAGUUACUAUUACUUUGGUUUAUUACACAUGAAAGAAUGUAACAGAGGCUGUCACAACCUCUUGGGUAUUGCCGUAUGCUCAAAUCCCAGGACUGGAGGUGUAUUCCUGAAUCUAAUAAAACGGAGUUGAAGAAAUUAACUUUGUAUAAUGUACCUUUGCCACCCAAGCUCCUUCCAAAUUAGUCAUCAGUAAGUGUUAAUAUUGAUGAAAUUCCUGUGAUAAUGUUGCAAAAUAUGGAUAAUAAAAGAGGCACCAAUUCUAAUAGUGCAUGCCUUAUGAUAAGAGGAGCAUAAAUAAUACAAGGG
rnacentral:lncRNA from 1 species